rnacentral:misc_RNA from 1 species
UUGCACAAGCAGAAGCUUGUCAUUUGGAGAAGAUCGUCCCAUUACCAAUAUCUUCUCAACGUGUUUUUCCCUUUCUUCAACCGAAUAUUCUCGAAAUACUUUUCCUUCAAUAAGAAUAGGCUCAACAGCAUCUUCAUUCGAACCUAGUAUUCCACAUUCCAAAGCAAUCGCUCUAGCAGUCUGAAGGUUAUCACCAGUGACCAUACGCACCUUCACACCAGCGUUUUGACAUAGUUGCACUGCUUCUUUGACACCUGGUCGGCAUGGGUCCUUUAAGCCGAUAAUAGCCAGCAAAACAAGAUCAUCCUCAGGUAAUGC